rnacentral:lncRNA from 10 species
GAAGAGAAGGCAACUUAUCUGGCUGCAGCGCUGAGAAUGGUUGGAGGGAGUUGUGACUGGAGACAGUGAGACCAGGAGGGAAGGUGGAACUAAGGAUCCCGAAUCCGUUUGGAGGCAGAGAGGGGCCAACAGGGUGUUUGAAGGGAGCAAAGGCAUCGAAAUUUUUGGAGCAUCUAGAACUGGGGCAGUGAAUGCAGAAGAGUGGGAGCACACACACGUUUCUCCUCCUUGACCCAGAAUGGGCACAGCCUUCAGAGAGCUCUUGCCAGCUCCUCACUCUAGCCUGGGUGAAGGGGGCAUCUGUGCCAAAGCAGGAAGGCACACAGGCGGAUUGGAAGGAAUUUCUCUCAGCAGCGUCAAAUGCCUGAGGGAUCUCGCCCUCGACCCUCUCCAUCUCUCAUGGUACUCUCAUUCACCCCCGGCUGCAGCUCCUGCCUCUGUGCUGACAGCUGUCACAUCAAUCCAGCCCAGACCUCCCUCGGCAGCUCUAGACCAGCAGAUCCCACUGCCUCCUGACAACCCCUCUGGAUGUCCCACAGUUCCUCAGACUUAGCAUCCUUUCCAAAUCCAUGCCCCCAUCUCAUUUCCAAAAAAGAAAAAUCAUAGAGGCCUCCCCAAUACAAAUGCAUAGGACAUGGGAAACAAGGUUUGAAAGGAUAUCCAGAAAAGCUUAGGGAUAGCCCUGGCCUUUUGGAGGUGACUUGGGGGUGGUAUGAGAGGCCAGAGUCAGCAGUAACUUCUCCUUUCUUCCCCACGAAGGUGUGGACUUCUUAGCUUCCUGUCCUUUUCGUACCAUUUGCCAAAUUGAAUUUAAAUAAUUAUUACUGUAAUUGCUUACUUAUUGUCUGUCUCUCCUGGUUGAAGCUUCUCAAGGGCAGGGAUCAUGUCUGUUUCACUUCUGUAUCCUUGGCAUCUGUCAUAUAAUCAGUAUCUGACAUAUAAUA